UAGUCAUAUGCUUGUCUCAAAGAUUAAGCCAUGCAUGUCUAAGUAUAAACAUCUUUAUACUGUGAAACUGCAGAUGGCUCAUUAAAUCAGUUACAAUUUAUUUGAUGAUUGACUUACUACAUGGAUACCCGUAGUAAUUCUAGAGCUAAUACAUGCGUAAAGUCCCGACUCUUGCGGGAAGGGAUGUGUUUAUUAGAUAAAAAACCAAUGCGGCUUCACGGCCGGUUUUGAGGUGAUUCAUAGUAACUGUUCGAAGCGCAUGGCCUCGCGCCGGCGCUAGUUCAUUCAAAUUUCUGCCCUAUCAGCUUUUGACGGUAGUGUAGUGGACUACCGUGGCGUUAACGGGUGACGGAGAGUUAGGGUUCGAUUCCGGAGAGGGAGCCUGAGAAAUGGCUACCACAUCCAAGGAAGGCAGCAGGCGCGCAAAUUACCCAAUCCUGAUACAGGGAGGUAGUGACAAGAAAUAACAAUACCGGGCUCUUUCGAGUUUGGUAAUUGGAAUGAGUACAAUCUAAAUCCCUUAACGAAUUCCAUU
rnacentral:rRNA from 1 species